CUGAAUGGGUUUAUAGAAGAAGAAGUUUAUGUUAAACAACCGCCUGGUUUUGAGCAUCCCAUUUUUCCUGAUCGUGUUUUUAAGUUGCAAAAGGCUUUAUAUGGUUUGAAGCAAGCACCUCGUGCUUGGUAUGCUAGAUUGAAAAAUUUUCUGCUUAAAAACGGGUUCAAAAUGGGUUCUGUCGAUAAAACCCUUUUUCUCCUUAGGCAAGGCAAUGACACUUUAAUAGUUCAGAUUUACGUGGAUGAUAUCAUUUUCGGUGGUUCCUCUCAUGCUCUUGUGAAAAAGUUUGCAGAUGUGAUGAGCAAAGAAUUUGAAAUGUCUAUGAUGGGCGAGCUGAAUUUCUUUCUUGGCUUACAAAUAAAACAAACUUCGGAAGGUACAUUUGUGCAUCAAGGAAAGUACACGAAGGAUGUCUUGAAGAAGUUUGCGAUGGAUGAUGCGAAGCCAAUUUCUACGCCCAUGCCGACUAGCGCAGCUUUGGAUGCUGAUUAGGAUGGAGAGCCCAUGGAUCAAAAGGAAUAUCGAAGCAUGAUUGGGUCGCUGUUAUACUUGACUGCUACGAGGCCAGAUAUACACUUUGCUGUGUGUAUGUGUGCUCGUUUUCAGGCGUCCCCCAGGUUUUCUCACCGUCAGGCGGUGAAACGCAUAAUGAGGCUGUGGUUGCAGGUGACAGGUGGAGACAAGGUACAUGCGGCAACGAGUGAAGAACGAGGAUAGGAUGUCGUGCCGAAGAACCGCUGGGGCGGAGAAGGAUGGAUCGAGGCUUGCGUUUGAGGGACAUGCGAUCGUGCGGUGUACGUCUACAGUACCUGGCUACACGGCGGGAGGACGUCGAGGGAGGUUUCCGGAUUACGCCACAAAAUCCGGGGUUCGCUGGUUGAGCCACAAAGCCAUGCAUCGUACCGGGGCGCUCGUGCGGCGGGCGUUGGCCGAAGAUGGAAAUUCCGGCGAUCGCGAUACGAUUUCGGAUGGUCAUGCGGUGACAUCGCGAGGAUCACAUCGCGGAGAUGGAGGGAUCGCGGACAUCGCGAAAUUUACCAUGGAAGAUUAGACGUAAUUAGAAUUUACGCUCCUACGUUAAAUUUAUUUAGCGUAGGGGGUUAUGUGUAAAAGGUAGAGCCAACCUUGGGGUUAUAAAUAUGUGGCACCUAGGGUUGAGAGGGUUUGGGGCCUUUUUGCUACA